UGUGUACUUCCUCCGUUCCAAAAUACUUGACUUCCAUUUUUCCAAAAAUGGAUGUACCUAUAUACUAAAACAUGUCUAGAUACAUAUAUAUUUUGACAAAUAGAAGGCAUGUAUUGUGCAACGGAGGGAGUAGAAU
rnacentral:pre_miRNA from 1 species